rnacentral:lncRNA from 1 species
GGUGGGUAGAGGGAGAGGGAGAGAAUCUCAAGCAGGCUCCUUGAUGAGUGCAGAGCUCUGCGUGGGCUCCAUCUCGCGACCCUGACAUCAUGACCUGAGCUGAAAUCAAGAGUCAGACAGUUCACUGACUGAGCCACCCAGGUGUCCUCAAAGCAGGCAACUUUUAUACCUUUUAGAGAAAUAGCAAAUUUGUGAAAAAUUGACAAAAGAAAGAUGUUUGGGCUUGAAGUAGUAAAUCAGUGAGGCAGUAACAAGCUUUGCUCACGUCUUCUCAGCUCUAACUUCCCUGUCUAGGUCCCUGACACAGGGAGGGUACCUUUCACAUCAGAGACUUACUUUCUGCCUUCAAGGAGGAAAAGGAGGUUCAAGCUGUCCUUCUUGCACUGGUUAUUUCUUAAGAAACUCAAAUUAAAAAUAACCCUUAGGUGAAGUGGUGUAUUUUAGGGUGCCAUAUUAUGCCCCUUUCAGGAACCAGUUAGUUUACAGGGUGACACACUGCCUACACCCCUCCUCUGAUGGUUGGAAAUUGGGCAGCUGUUGCUUUAAGAAGCACUCCUUGUUUGAGUGAGUCAUCUCUGUCUUCUUGCUUUGGAAAUCGAAUUUAUUUUCUAGAUCUUUCAGUCGAGGAAUUUUCUUUCUUGCUUGCUUGCUGCUCUUGUCUUUUGUGAUUUUCUUUCAAGCCCUGCUGAACUCCCUAAUAAAUUCUGAACGUGGAGAAUAGGAAGUAAGUCCCCUGGGGGAGGAAGAAAGUGCAGUUAUCGAAAGUAAAAGAAAACUUCUUCCUGGAGGUGUUUCCAUCUGCACCCUUCUCAUCCCCGCCCUCUUUCAAGGGAUUUUUCUCGUUGUGUGGACAAGCCCUAAGAGUUUGUGGGAAAUUAGGCAGUUCAGGGGUGCAGUGGGCACUUGGUGACUGUGAUGUGGCUGGGACAAGGUGGAGCAGGUGAAGAGGCACCUUCAGACACCUCAUUUAAUCGUCUCAGCUCUAAGGUGAGUCUCUGCCCUCAGAAAGCUAAUAUUCUAUUUGGGGAAAGAAAAAGGACAGUUUCAAAGAAGAGAGGUGUUCAAUUGUUUUUCUUUCUACUUUUAACAUCGGAACACAUCUCAGCUGAUUCACAGCAAAGAGGCUAG